GGUUAAGCGACUAAGCGUACACGGUGGAUGCCCUGGCAGUCAGAGGCGAUGAAGGACGUGCUAAUCUGCGAUAAGCGUCGGUAAGGUGAUAUGAACCGUUAUAACCGGCGAUUUCCGAAUGGGGAAACCCAGUGUGUUUCGACACACUAUCAUUAACUGAAUCCAUAGGUUAAUGAGGCGAACCGGGGGAACUGAAACAUCUAAGUACCCCGAGGAAAAGAAAUCAACCGAGAUUCCCCCAGUAGCGGCGAGCGAACGGGGAGCAGCCCAGAGCCUGAAUCAGUGUGUGUGUUAGUGGAAGCGUCUGGAAAGGCGCGCGAUACAGGGUGACAGCCCCGUACACAAAAAUGCACAUGCUGUGAGCUCGAUGAGUAGGGCGGGACACGUGGUAUCCUGUCUGAAUAUGGGGGGACCAUCCUCCAAGGCUAAAUACUCCUGACUGACCGAUAGUGAACCAGUACCGUGAGGGAAAGGCGAAAAGAACCCCGGCGAGGGGAGUGAAAAAGAACCUGAAACCGUGUACGUACAAGCAGUGGGAGCACGCUUCGGCGUGUGACUGCGUACCUUUUGUAUAAUGGGUCAGCGACUUAUAUUCUGUAGCAAGGUUAACCGAAUAGGGGAGCCGAAGGGAAACCGAGUCUUAACUGGGCGUUAAGUUGCAGGGUAUAGACCCGAAACCCGGUGAUCUAGCCAUGGGCAGGUUGAAGGUUGGGUAACACUAACUGGAGGACCGAACCGACUAAUGUUGAAAAAUUAGCGGAUGACUUGUGGCUGGGGGUGAAAGGCCAAUCAAACCGGGAGAUAGCUGGUUCUCCCCGAAAGCUAUUUAGGUAGCGCCUCGUGAAUUCAUCUCCGGGGGUAGAGCACUGUUUCGGCAAGGGGGUCAUCCCGACUUACCAACCCGAUGCAAACUGCGAAUACCGGAGAAUGUUAUCACGGGAGACACACGGCGGGUGCUAACGUCCGUCGUGAAGAGGGAAACAACCCAGACCGCCAGCUAAGGUCCCAAAGUCAUGGUUAAGUGGGAAACGAUGUGGGAAGGCCCAGACAGCCAGGAUGUUGGCUUAGAAGCAGCCAUCAUUUAAAGAAAGCGUAAUAGCUCACUGGUCGAGUCGGCCUGCGCGGAAGAUGUAACGGGGCUAAACCAUGCACCGAAGCUGCGGCAGCGACGCUUAUGCGUUGUUGGGUAGGGGAGCGUUCUGUAAGCCUGUGAAGGUGUGCUGUGAGGCAUGCUGGAGGUAUCAGAAGUGCGAAUGCUGACAUAAGUAACGAUAAAGCGGGUGAAAAGCCCGCUCGCCGGAAGACCAAGGGUUCCUGUCCAACGUUAAUCGGGGCAGGGUGAGUCGACCCCUAAGGCGAGGCCGAAAGGCGUAGUCGAUGGGAAACAGGUUAAUAUUCCUGUACUUGGUGUUACUGCGAAGGGGGGACGGAGAAGGCUAUGUUGGCCGGGCGACGGUUGUCCCGGUUUAAGCGUGUAGGCUGGUUUUCCAGGCAAAUCCGGAAAAUCAAGGCUGAGGCGUGAUGACGAGGCACUACGGUGCUGAAGCAACAAAUGCCCUGCUUCCAGGAAAAGCCUCUAAGCAUCAGGUAACAUCAAAUCGUACCCCAAACCGACACAGGUGGUCAGGUAGAGAAUACCAAGGCGCUUGAGAGAACUCGGGUGAAGGAACUAGGCAAAAUGGUGCCGUAACUUCGGGAGAAGGCACGCUGAUAUGUAGGUGAGGUCCCUCGCGGAUGGAGCUGAAAUCAGUCGAAGAUACCAGCUGGCUGCAACUGUUUAUUAAAAACACAGCACUGUGCAAACACGAAAGUGGACGUAUACGGUGUGACGCCUGCCCGGUGCCGGAAGGUUAAUUGAUGGGGUUAGCGGUAACGCGAAGCUCUUGAUCGAAGCCCCGGUAAACGGCGGCCGUAACUAUAACGGUCCUAAGGUAGCGAAAUUCCUUGUCGGGUAAGUUCCGACCUGCACGAAUGGCGUAAUGAUGGCCAGGCUGUCUCCACCCGAGACUCAGUGAAAUUGAACUCGCUGUGAAGAUGCAGUGUACCCGCGGCAAGACGGAAAGACCCCGUGAACCUUUACUAUAGCUUGACACUGAACAUUGAGCCUUGAUGUGUAGGAUAGGUGGGAGGCUUUGAAGUGUGGACGCCAGUCUGCAUGGAGCCGACCUUGAAAUACCACCCUUUAAUGUUUGAUGUUCUAACGUUGACCCGUAAUCCGGGUUGCGGACAGUGUCUGGUGGGUAGUUUGACUGGGGCGGUCUCCUCCUAAAGAGUAACGGAGGAGCACGAAGGUUGGCUAAUCCUGGUCGGACAUCAGGAGGUUAGUGCAAUGGCAUAAGCCAGCUUGACUGCGAGCGUGACGGCGCGAGCAGGUGCGAAAGCAGGUCAUAGUGAUCCGGUGGUUCUGAAUGGAAGGGCCAUCGCUCAACGGAUAAAAGGUACUCCGGGGAUAACAGGCUGAUACCGCCCAAGAGUUCAUAUCGACGGCGGUGUUUGGCACCUCGAUGUCGGCUCAUCACAUCCUGGGGCUGAAGUAGGUCCCAAGGGUAUGGCUGUUCGCCAUUUAAAGUGGUACGCGAGCUGGGUUUAGAACGUCGUGAGACAGUUCGGUCCCUAUCUGCCGUGGGCGCUGGAGAACUGAGGGGGGCUGCUCCUAGUACGAGAGGACCGGAGUGGACGCAUCACUGGUGUUCGGGUUGUCAUGCCAAUGGCACUGCCCGGUAGCUAAAUGCGGAAGAGAUAAGUGCUGAAAGCAUCUAAGCACGAAACUUGCCCCGAGAUGAGUUCUCCCUGACUCCUUGAGAGUCCUGAAGGAACGUUGAAGACGACGACGUUGAUAGGCCGGGUGUGUAAGCGCAGCGAUGCGUUGAGCUAACCGGUACUAAUGAACCGUGAGGCUUAACCUU
rnacentral:rRNA from 1 species